AUAUUUGACUAUGGUAGAGAGCCUAAUCCAGCCAUCCCUCGGCCAGGAAGAAUGCGUUAUGGGUUGUAAACUGCUUUUAUAUAGGAAGAAACCACUUUACGUGUAAGGUGUUGAAGGUACUGUAAUAAUACGCAUCGGCUAACCCCGUGCAAUCGGCCGCGGUAAUACGGAGGAUGCAAGCGUUAUCCGGAUUUAUUGGGUUUAAAGGGUCCGUAGGCGGGCAUAUAAGUCAGAGGUGAAAUCCGACAGCUUAACUGUCGAACUGCCUUUGAAACUGUAUGUCUUGAGUGAGAUUGAAGCAGCUGGAAUGUGUAGUGUAGCGGUGAAAUGCAUAGAUAUUACACAGAACACCGAUAGCGUAGGCAGGUUGCUAAGUCUUUACUGACGCUGAUGGACGAAAGCGUGGGGAGCAAACA
rnacentral:rRNA from 1 species